AGUGAACGCUGGCGGUAGGCCUAACACAUGCAAGUCGAACGGCAGCACAGUAAGAGCUUGCUCUUACGGGUGGCGAGUGGCGGACGGGUGAGGAAUACAUCGGAAUCUACUUUUUCGUGGGGGAUAACGUAGGGAAACUUACGCUAAUACCGCAUACGACCUACGGGUGAAAGCAGGGGAUCUUCGGACCUUGCGCGAUUGAAUGAGCCGAUGUCGGAUUAGCUAGUUGGCGGGGUAAAGGCCCACCAAGGCGACGAUCCGUAGCUGGUCUGAGAGGAUGAUCAGCCACACUGGAGCUGAGACACGGUCCAGACUCCUACGGGAGGCAGCAGCGGGGAAUAUUGGACAAUGGGCGCAAGCCUGAUCCAGCCAUACCGCGUGGGUGAAGAAGGCCUUCGGGUUGUAAAGCCCUUUUGUUGGGAAAGAAAAGCAGCAGGUUAAUACCCCGCUGUUCUGACGGUACCCAAAGAAUAAGCACCGGCUAACUUCGUG
rnacentral:rRNA from 1 species